rnacentral:rRNA from 1 species
AGUCGGACGCACUAAUUUAUUAGUGAGUGGCGAACGGGUGAGUAACACGUAGGUAAUCUACCUUUAAGACGAGGAUAACCAUUGGAAACGAUGGCUAAGACUGGAUAGGAAUAUGUAAGGCAUCUUAUAUAUUUUAAAAGACCUAGCAAUAGGUAUACUUAAAGAGGAGCCUGCGGCGCAUUAGUUAGUUGGUGAGGUGAUGGCUUACCAAGACAGUGAUGCGUAGCCGGACUGAGAGGUUGAACGGCCACAUUGGGACUGAGACACGGCCCAAACUCCUACGGGAGGCAGCAGUAGGGAAUUUUCGGCAAUGGGGGCAACCCUGACCGAGCAACGCCGCGUGAAUGACGAAGUACUUCGGUAUGUAAAGUUCUUUUAUUAGGGAAGAAUGACUUGUGGAAAAGCAAGUGUGACGGUACCUAAUGAAUAAGCCCCGGCUAACUAUGUGCCAGCAGCCGCGGUAAUACAUAGGGGGCAAGCGUUAUCCGGAAUUAUUGGGCGUAAAGGGUGCGUAGGCGGUUAUUUAAGUCUUUGGUGUAAGUGCAGGGCUCAACUCUGUGAUGCUAAGGAAACUGGAUAACUUGAGUGUGGUAGAGGUAAGUAGAAUUCCAUGUGUAGCGGUAAAAUGCGUAAAUAUAUGGAGGAAUACCAGUGGCGAA